CUUCCUGUUGUGUGUGAGGUGAAGGAGAAGCCAGGGCAGCCUCUUACUUCCCUGCAGCGGCCACAGCGUGCCGGUGUAGAACGAAGGAUGGACUGACACUGCUAUCUCCCAGGCCAAGCCGCCGUGUUGUGAGUGGACACAAUGAACCCACCUGGCCCAAUGUAGUUGCUGCAGUGAUAUAAAAAGGUACAAAUCUUCCAUCAGAGGCCACAGGACCUGUGGAGUUCGUUAAGUGAGAACCGGCUGAAGGAUGGCGAUGGUGACACCACAGCUCCCCAGCAUCAUGCCCGGCGGGGUUAACUUUGAUGGGCAGCCCCUGCAGACAGAGUCCUACGAGGAGGAGGAGGUGGUCUCAGAAUAUUUAAACUUUGACGCUAAGAGGCUGAAGUUUGGUACCCGAGAAGCCUCCUAGCUCCCACAGCGCGAGUUAGAUAAGCCUGUAACCAUGUCCUGUAAUUCUUACAGUGCAUGCCUUUGGGCGCUCCCGUUUAAGCACCCAAACCAUAGUUUUCACACAUUUCAGCUCUCACCUCAGUAGGCUGUGAGAUGAAAUGUGUCCCCCUGCUGCUGCAUGCGCACCCAACGGAACAACUAAACUGCUUUGUCGGGCGCCAUCUAGUGGCAGCCAGGAGAGAAAAACAAUUGAAUUCAACCCUCAGAGUGCAGUUUUAGCAGUAUACUGUCAAAUGUCAUUACAUUCACAGUAUAAAAUGGAGAUAAAGGAGAGUACACAGAAACAUAUGAAAGUCCAUGGAUCCUAAUGAUUGGCUUGAGGUCCCGCUGUGCACAUCAGUGGUGUGCACAACUUUUCAUGGCACCAAAUAGUGUCCAUCCUACACAAGUGAUUAUAAAUAGUUGUACUAGUUAAAUAUAUAUUAUUAAAAAAAAUAAAAAAAUAUUUUAAUUCCA